ACACACACACACACACACACACACACACACAAAAACGCUUACUCCAACAAUUUGUGUGUGUGUGUGUGUGUAUACACACGGACUGAUGUACAGACAAAUGGUGUGAGAGAAUUACCUACAACCCAGUUCAGCCUUGGUUCUUUAAAGCCCAGAAUGUUUUGUAAAGAUGACAGUUGUGUCUGACACGGAGCUGCUCCGUGGCUCAAAGUGUCUCAGAGACUGAGCCGGGUCCAGAGGACCAUGGGUCCACAGGAACCGGGUCUUCUGUCGGACAUGGAGCUUAGCAGGAAGAAUAAAACUGCUUUUAUUUUUGGACCGUUUUAAAGCGGGGUUCAGUGAACAAGUUAGGAAGAAUMAAUAUCCUACCUGUUACAGACGGGUGCUUUGAACGACCUCAGGACUGAUGAGCUAAUGGCUAGUCCAAGGGUCUGCAACCUUUACAAUCAGCUGUUUGAGUCGGUCCGCCGCUGUGAAACAACCGUGUUCGUCACUGAAGUCUAUCGAAGGUGGUCUUUUCUGCUCAGUGGCCGUGACUUUCUAAAACUACACACUUGCAGUGAGUUUUAACAUCUUUACACUCUGGGAGGAAAGAAAACACAAUGUACGUGUAAACAAGAAAAAAUYUAGUUUAUACAAAAUGUAAUAAUUAAAACAUUCACCUAGGCAGACAUUUUAUCUUUAUUUUUUUUCUCAUUUUUACUGUUGUGUUCUUUUCAGAAACUUGUCUUAUUUUCAUAUUAUUGAAGUGGUGAUUGAACUACUAGCAUAAUCUAACAUGAGAUUUAUUUUGUCUAUUUUUUAUAUCCACAACAAUUUUUCUGUUUUGGAUUUAAAAUAAUAAUAAUAAUAAACAGAAUCAAAUCUCAUGUUAGAUUUGGUCAAAGAGCCACAUGUGGUCCCAGAGGUUGCAGACCCCUGGUCUGGUCUAAACACAACCAAAACCAAAGAUUGUUUCAAUCUAAGCUAAGUUAGAUUGGUGAAGAUGAAGAUUUAACCCUUCCAGUGCUGUAAAACCACAGUAAUCUCAAACUUGCAGGAAAGAAAUUAGCUCAUCAGAUCUGUAAGAAGGAAGUAUCUUUGAUUCAAAAUUAGGUCGGGAGAAAUAAUCCUACAAAACUCCGUAUUAAAACAGCUGAAAUGUUCCUUUAAGUGUUUUUGAACGGCCAGCAGACCACAUAGCUUCACAUUUCUUAUUAAGACUUGCUGCUAGUUUUUAAAGAGGUUUAAAUUCGACCUGAACAUAAAAGUAAAUCUAUAASCUGGUCUGGUGUGYUUCUUCAGUUCUGCCACACAGUUUYGACUCUGAGACACUUUGUGGCUCCAGAGGAGCCCCGAGCCUCGAACUGAACAGGAAGUGAUUGUUGCUGUGUGUUUGUGCCACCAGGGGGCACUGUCGCUGUAUCGGUCUCCAAGCUGAAGGUACGGGUCGGACCUGCCGACUGCAUGUAAAAAAUGUAAACAGGAUAUUAAAUUAUUCUUAUUUUUUAUUUAUUUGCUUCUAGUUUCAGCUGCUUGUGGUGAAAACAGAGUUUUGAUUCAAGUCAUUUUAAUCCACUUCAAUUAAAUCUGAUCGAUAUGAAAUUAUAAAGAGAUCAAAUAAAUCUGUGUGACUCCACGUCUAACAGAACACCAGACUACACUGGAUCUGGUGUCCUCAGAUUAAAUCCUGAUCUAAAGCACAGCUUAAAUCUUUUAAACCGAAAUGUUGCUGACCUCUGGAUUAAAAAGAGACACUUUUARCAGUUUUUCUGUUAAAUCCAGUUUAUUGGAGAACAUUUUAUUUACAGGUGAAACCAGAUGUUUACAUGUGAAACCAGAAUCUGACUUUAAACCAGAUUUAUCUGUUUCAGGGUCAGGCAGGAUUCAACUUUAUUUAAUAUAUAAAGUCAGUUUUUCUUUACAACUCUGCAGACUGAUCUGAGUCCUUCCCUUAACUGUGAAAAAUAUAAAACUAAAAUAAAAAAGCUGUGAAGUAUGAAGUUAAAACAUUAGGUUUUUAUUUAACUUGAACUGCUGACCAUUUUUUUAUUUUUUACAUGAUUAAACUUUUUAAAAAUUGUUUUCAAAAACAACAUUUCAAGAAACAAACUGAGCUGUCAACAGAUCAGCAACAACAUAGUUAUUUCUGUGUAACAGGUGGAGAUAAAAUGAUUUUUACUGAAAGCAAAAAUAUUUAGAUUCAUUAAAAUGUAUAAAAUUCUAKUAUAAAAGUAAUGAAAAGGGUGAUUUUUCUGGUUGAGAAGGAGGAAGUGUUUGUCUGAAAACGGCAUAAAGAAAGUUAAUAUAAAACUGUUGGUGUUGUUCUGCUGCAGGAAGCCUGUGAUGUUACAGAAAACUGGAUCAGACGUUUAUUUUUAAUAUUUAUUUAAUGUGAACAGCACUCAGGUUUGGAGCCACAGAUGUCUACAGGAAAACUUUCAAGUCCAGAACUUUGAUCAGAAUCUCACGUGAAACAAACAAAACGUUUGGACUUCAAUUUAAAGCAAUAAACUAAGAGUUUGGAGUCAUUUAAUACAUUUAUACACCUUUUUUAAAUAAAAUAAUCUCAGGAUUCAAUAAAAGUUGAUCCAUUAGUUUAGAUUCUGAUCAUAUAAAUAAAGUGAUUAAUACUCGCUGUUCUCCACCUGUACCAGAGCUCCAGAGAAACAUUUCAGCUGUAACGUGUUUAUAUUUUCACAGAUUUGAAUAGUUCUUACAGCUCCAGCAGGGUUUUCAAACUAAAGCCUGGUCCUUAACAUGACUCAGCAUUCUGAAUCACUUUUUAUUACAUUUAACAUGAAACAGUUUAGGACUUUAAAUCCCAGCCUCUGUUCCAACCUAUGAAUAAUAAAUAUCUUACCUGUUGGCUCUCUGAACGACUUCAGACUGGAGAAAAAAAUCAGACUGAUGAGUUAAUGGCUAGUCUGAAUGGAGUCAGAAUUGUGUGUUUCUGAGCAGCGAGUUGUGUUUUUUUUUAAUCUAAGCUUGUUUUUGUACGGAGGGUUUGCAGAACUGUAUUGUUGGCCCUGCACAUUAUUCUGUUGUCCACCUCCACCCACCUCACACCCAUUUUAUACCCACCAUGGUGCCACGCUCCUGUUGAUUAGAUCCACACAAGCCUACUUUAAAACGAGCAGAGGUCUGAAUGUUGACUUGUAAAAGUUUGUUAUUAACCUGCUGUUCUGAUGUUUCACCUGCUUCAUUUCAAAUGUAUAUUUUCUACCUGCUGGAGCAGAAAAACCUCUCGUCUUCUAUAUUUAUAUUAUUCUCUUGUAAUAAGAAGAAACUUUUUGGACUUUAUAUAAAUUUAUACGUUCCUGCUGUAAAGAAAUUAUUAAAAAACUGACCUCUUUCUGUGCCUGCUCUCUGUUUUGCUUMUGCCUAAUCAGUCAAAUCACCUGUGUGUUCAGAGUGUCUGCAGCCUCCUCAACCUCUGAGUCCUGACCCAGUCCUCCUCUGCACGACUCAAACAUUCAUCAGUCACAGCGAGUGUUUUGAAAGAGAUUUUCAUCCUUAGUUUUAAUCAAAUUCAGAGUGAARCCUUCAGUAGAGCAGAGAUUAUUGAGUUAAGGGGCAGUAAUGAUGCUGAAUGUUAAAGUGAGUGUUGGUUUUAGCUGAUUGGGUCAGGCCCAGCAGCACCUUUUCAGCCCACAGACUUAAAGRUGUCCGUGUUGGAGCCUGAGUAAUGAGGUGGACGUGUGAGGAGGUGAGCAGACACCCUGAAGGAAAUCCUCUGCUCRGUGCUUUAACCUGUGAAAAGCUCCCGUGUGCUCUCCAAACAGCAGGUUUCUCCAUCGUCAGCUCCUGCUGCUGCAGAACCAAGGUCAGAGAAAAGCUUUGGACCGCACCGAGCUGCUAGAUAAAGCUGCUGCUGUCUGCUUCACCUGCUGCAGAUGGAYGCUGCCUGUCUGAAAGUUCUGUCUGUGGCUGGACCAGAAUGCCUAUGUUCCCCCCAGCUCAUCACGGAGGACGAGGGGCUGAGCCGGCUGGCCCAGACCAUCCAAGUUCUUUCAGACCUGGCAGACAAAACCCAGCAGCCCCUCUGCAGGACCGGCUCACCGAGCUAACGCUUCACGGAGCUGUUGGCUGAAGGCUGCCUCUGACAGUGGGAUCUCAGGGCCACACUGUUUUCUUCACAAGCUUCAGCACGAAACUGUUGCUACAUUCCAGAAACUUUAGUAAAAUAAAUAAAUAAAUACCAGAACUACUAAAAUUAAACCAUAAACUGUUCUUUGAGUCUUAUUUCAGGUGUUUUCUGUGACACAAGUCAAAGUUUUCUGGUCACAACAAGGAGUGAAGUGAGUGGAGCAAAAAUACAGAAAAAAGUGUUUUUUAUUUCUGUAAAAAGCCUCAGAUAAAGUCAAAUGUGCCAAAAACAAGUCUCAUUUUUCAUUAUUAAAGAUUUAAAAUAAUACAGUUCUCUGAAUUUAAAAGGAAAAAAAAAAGGAAUAACAUGACUGACCAGGGGAAAACUUCAUUUACAGGUUGUUCAAAGAUUAAACAUUUCCUGAAAUUAAAGUUGUAAAGGUUUGUGUAAUAUGUUUACUGUUCCAGGAUUUUAUAAUAAUUAAAUCUCAUCUGAAAAA